rnacentral:lncRNA from 1 species
CUAAAACAAGCCAAUGGUCAUCAAUCUCGUAGGCACUGCACCUAAUUACAUCAACUGAAGCAUCUUUUAACAGAUGAAUACAUUUACUCAUAGACAAGAAGAAGAAUGUGACUGAUGAUUAACUACUGUAUAGAAUUUUAUAAACAAUUCAUUUCAUACAAGCAAGUGAAUUACACCGCCUUCCUUUGAGCAACCACACUUAUAUAUUCAAAUCAGCGCAUGAAUUGACUCCACAACUUGCCAUUCUUUACUCUUGGGUCAGUGCUCGGAUGUAAACUUUCUCAAGCAUUUGAAGUAUACCCCGUCUAGAUUUCUUCUUCUCUUUGGACCCCUUUUCUCCUCUUCUCUUCAUCUCCUCUUUGUGGAGCUUCUUGAGGGCAUAUGCUUCGGCUAUGUCGACACCCAUGGAAGUCAUUACCAGCAGGAAUAUGAGCUUCCAAAAGACUACUUUUCCUCCUUUCUUCUUCUCCCUCCCUUUCCUUGCACUUGGCGAGACUGUG